CCUACGGGCGGCAGCAGUGGGGAAUAUUGGACAAUGGGCGAAAGCCUGAUCCAGCCAUGCCGCGUGUGUGAAGAAGGCCUUCGGGUUGUAAAGCACUUUCAGUGGGGAAGAAAGCCUUGGGGCUAAUACCCUCGAGGAAGGACAUCACCCACAGAAGAAGCACCGGCUAACUCCGUGCCAGCAGCCGCGGUAAUACGGAGGGUGCGAGCGUUAAUCGGAAUUACUGGGCGUAAAGCGCGCGUAGGCGGUCUGAUAAGCCGGUUGUGAAAGCCCCGGGCUCAACCUGGGAACGGCAUCCGGAACUGUCAGGCUAGAGUGCAGGAGAGGAAGGUAGAAUUCCCGGUGUAGCGGUGAAAUGCGUAGAGAUCGGGAGGAAUACCAGUGGCGAAGGCGGCCUUCUGGACUGACACUGACGCUGAGGUGCGAAAGCGUGGGUAGCAAACAGGAUUAGAUACCCUUGUAGC
rnacentral:rRNA from 1 species